CAUUAAACGGCUUCGCAUAAAAAACGAUCUACCGUUCGGAGGCGGCAUAAGCAAAGCAGUAGGUCCCUCCAAAAUGCAGUCAUGCAGCCUAAAGCCAAGGCGCUUUCAACAAGUGAUAAGUGAUUCCAAAUUUCUCUCUUUUGAACUGCGACUAAAAUGCCAAUUCUUAAUCAUUAACAAAUCGUAAUUUUCAUUUCUGAUUUUUUAAAUAUUAAAAUGAAAAAAAAUUUUAAAGUUAUGGGAUACAGUUUUAAAACAAAGAGUAUGAGGCUAAACGAUUUAUUUCGAAAGUUAUCACAGAGAGAAAUAUCUUUCGAUCAAAAGCAGCUCAAAGUUUAAGGAGAAAGCUGAACAUCGAGUGGAGCUUUCAAAUAGACGAAAGUUGAACGAAAAUAUUGAUUUAAUUUUACAAAAUAUGGAUGAGAAAAAUAAACAGACGUUAUGGAAAAGAAGUCUUAAAGUUUAACGUAUAUACAAAAAAUUAGAUCACAAUAACGGUAAAAGUUAUUUAAAUGAUA